rnacentral:rRNA from 1 species
UACGUAGGGUGCGAGCGUUGUCCGGAAUUAUUGGGCGUAAAGAGCCCGUAAGCGGUUUGUCGCGUCUGCUGUGAAAACCUAAGGCUCAACCUUGGGCUUGCAGUGGGUACGGGCAGACUAGAGUGCGGUAGGGGUGACUGGAAUUCCUGGUGUAGCGGUGGAAUGUGCAGAUAUCAGGAGGAACACCGAUGGCGAAGGCAGGUCACUGGGCCGCAACUGACGCUGAGGAGCGAAAGCAUGGGGAGCGAACAGG